rnacentral:rRNA from 1 species
AGCGAACGCUGGCGGCAGGCCUAACACAUGCAAGUCGAACGCACCUUCGGGUGAGUGGCGGACGGGUGAGUAACACGUGGGAACGUACCUUUAGGUUCGGAAUAACGCAGGGAAACUUGCGCUAAUACCGAAUGUGCCCUUCGGGGAAAGGAUUUAUUCGCCUUUAGUAGCGGCCCGCGUUAGAUUAGCUAGUUGGUGAGGUAAUGGCCCACCAAGGCUACGAUCUAUAGCUGGUCUGAGAGGAGAUCAGCCACACUGGGACUGAGACACGGCCCAGACUCCUACGGGAGGCAGCAGUGGGGAAGUCUUGCACAAUGGAGGGAAACUACUGAUGCAGCGACGCCGCGUGAGUGAUGAAG